AUACGUAGGGUGCGAGCGUUGUCCGGAAUUACUGGGCGUAAAGAGCUCGUAGGUGGUUUGUCGCGUCGUCUGUGAAAUUCCGGGGCUUAACUCCGGGCGUGCAGGCGAUACGGGCAUAACUUGAGUACUGUAGGGGAGACUGGAAUUCCUGGUGUAGCGGCGAAAUGCGCAGAUAUCAGGAGGAACACCGGUGGCGAAGGCGGGUCUCUGGGCAGUAACUGACGCUGAGGAGCGAAAGCAUGGGUAGCGAACAGGAUUAGAUACCCUGGUAGUCCAUGCCGUAAACGGUGGGCGCUAGGUGUAGGGGUCUUCCACGACUUCUGUGCCGUAGCUAACGCAUUAAGCGCCCCGCCUGGGGAGUACGGCCGCAAGGUUGAAACUCAAAUGAAUUGACGGGG
rnacentral:rRNA from 1 species